AAAAGAUAUAUAUAUAUAUCUUUUCCCGUGUGAUGGGUUGAAAAAAUCGAAUUUUUUUUUGCAUAAAUUUUGAUUCCUAAACAUGUUUAGAAUAUGUUGGUAAAAUGAUUUUCCAAUAUUCGAAGUUGUUGGAAAGUUCUAUAACUUUAAAGAAGAGCAGGUGUUCGAAGCACUAAGUUGAGCGGUGGGGUACUGGGCCUAUUGUGACGUGUCAGCUUAUUACCUGAAAGCUUCCAAUACGAAUGUACACUUAUAUAUACAAGGAUAGAAAAAGAUUUAGAAGAUCACAUGUUUUUUCAAACUUAUUUUUAAAUUUUAAGGUUAGUUUAAUCUUGGCUUGGCACUGUAAAGCGUAACAGCUAUGACAAAUAAGUUCGAAAUCAGAGAUCAGUUUAUAAGUUGUUAGUUUUCCCAAUGAGUAGUAAAAAAGGAAGUAAGGGCGGUAAUAUUCAUCCUGGUCGUAAUAAGAAACGAAGGUUUAGUGGAAAUCGUUAUACAGCUUCUGUUAAGAAACUGAAAGACGGUAUGGAUAUAGUGGUGCCCGGCACUUCAAGUUUUGGCUAUUGCAUUCUGGAGUUUACAUCUGUAUUUUCUGCCAUCUCUGCAAGCGUCAUAUGUAAAAAAUGUAAAAGUGAUGUGUCUUUCACUCAAUCAAGUUUACAAAGCUUGGGUUUUAAAAUUAUCCAAUCCUGCAAGUGUGAGAGACAGCAGUUUAUAAAAUCGUGCCCUAUGAUUCAGCAUGCGUGUGAAAUAAAUCGUCGUUUUGUUUUUGUAAUACGUUUAUUAGGAAUUGGUCACAAGGGAGUGAAUCUUUUUUGCAGUCUCAUAGACAUAUGUGGAGGUAUUGGUAAUUAUGUGCUCUUAGAAAAUGUUAGCUGCAUCUGUAGUUUUUGAUUCAGUGUUGACAUUUACUGCCACACAAGAGAAAACUAUGAAUGAAGAAUCCGGAAAGCCAUGGGAUGAAUUGACAGUUUCAGGCUAUGGCACUUGGAAGAAAAGAGGCCUUCAUCUCUUUUUGGCGUCUUUACGUUGGUUGGAAGAUACACCGGAAAAGUUUUAGACGCAAUGGUUAUGAGCAGUUUUUGCAGUGGAUGUAAUUUGUGGAAGGACAAAAAAAAAUGGAAUCAAUAGAGUACGAAACAUGGUAUGGAACUCACCAAAAUGAAUGUAGCAUAAAUCAUUCUGGAAGCUCCGAUAAGAUGGAAAUAAAUGCCAUUACGGAAAUGUUUUUAAGAUCGGUAGAUAGAAAUGGCGUAAAGUAUGUGACGUACAUAGGUGAUUAAGACAGUAAAACUUACAAAGGAAUUGUAGAUACUAAACCAUAUGGAGAAACUUUAGUAUCAAGAGAAGAAUUGUUAACCUGAUGUUUAGGAGCAGAGACGCAAAAUAAUAAUGAAUCUCUGAAUUCAUUGAUUUGGACUUUCACUCCAAAACAUCUCCACUCGUGCGCCAAAAUCGUUGAGUUACGACAUUUUUGGCAAUAAGUCAAUCAGCCGGAAUCAUGGAGACCUUUUUUUCAAGAUGGGUAUCUUCGGAGUGGUACAACUCAUAUUUUUAUGGAGAUUUAUGCCUACCAAUUUUUUUACACACUACUGAAAUAUUAAUAAAUAUAUCAUAAAAAGUCCAAAAUUCUAUCUUUUUAUUGGCCGUCAAAUAAAAUUCCUAAAAAAUGCUUAAAAAAUCGGCCGUCACACGAACGCUUCUAAAUAUAAAGUUCUAAUAUAAUUUGUAAAAAUAUCUAAAUGUACUGAUCAAAAUAUUGCCCGCUAACGCAAAUAUAAGUUUGACCCUGCUGUAGUAUGCUGUUCAUGACAUGGCACAUUUCUUGUCGAUUUCUAUUAAUUUCUGCAAAUAUAUCUCUAAUUUGUUCUAUCACAACAUCAAGCGUAGCUAUCUCAAUUACAUAAACUUUUUGUUUUAAUUUCUUCCAUAAUAAACAAAAAUCUAGUGGGACGAUGUCAGGUGAUCUAGACGGCCUAGCUAUUGUUCAGAGAAAAAUACGUUGAUUAUUCCAAGAUAGUAAACAACAUAUACAGACCAAUAACAUUAUCCUUGAUCAUAACAUUUAGACAGUUUUAUAAUUUAUGUUAUAACUUUUUAAUAAAGCUUUGAAUGAUCUAUGUUUUUAUAUAACAUAUUUUUCUUAUUUUUGUGCGUAGAAUAAGCUUACAUUUGUACAGAAAAACAUCUGACAUUCUGUAUAUAUACAUAUGUAUAAUUUUUUUGUUUAUAAUCCUAUUAAAAAACUUCAAAGGAAAAAAAUUGCAAUAUUGCAGAAGGGAAAACUAAUGGUUAAGAAAAUUUUUGGAAAUUCAAGGUUAUCGAUGCUUUUUAAAUAAAUCUAUAUAUAUAUAUAUUUGUGAUGAUAUUCUUGCAGAACAUGAACAAAACUAAUAAAAAUGAUCUUUAUGAUCAUAUCAUAUCAAUCAUUUAUUUUCGAUAUACAUAUAUACAUAUAGAAUCUUUCGCCUAACUCGACUACCUAAAAUAUCUUGUUUAUUUUGUACGAUAGAAAAAAUGUCAAAGAAAAAAAAUAUUUUGCGAAGGCGCCGAUAUAAUAGCGAUGGACCGAAUUUUUUCUGAGAUAUCGAAAAUAUUUAAUGAUUUUAAUAUAUGAACAAUUAUAAUAUGAAAUAAAUCACAAAAUAAAUUUUUUAACUAACGAUAAGUCCACUGUCAAUUAUUAAAACAUAUAUAUUAUUUUCAUUAUGUGUAUACGUAUUAAAUUACAAAAAAAUUGUUUAAUCAACAAGUAUACUUCAAAAAUUAAAUUUUAACAUUUUUUUUUUGCGAUUAUUCAUUGUGACAAUGAACAUGCAACGUACUCUACUAAUUACUUCUAUCGAAUGGGAAAAAAUUCACGCAAGAUUAGUUUUAAAAUGUAUCAAAUAAUUUAUUUCUGACUCUACUGGUAUUAGAACACAUUUUGAUUUCAUCAUAAAUUUUUAGUGCAUGUGCAUGUUCAAAUUGUAUAUUUAUAAAUAAAAUACUUACCUUUUUUUUUAUAAAACUGAAUGGUUUAUGUGUAACAAUGAUAUAUUAUUUUUGCAAUAUAUAUUGAAACAAUCUAUGUAAAUUAUGCACUAAAUAUUUUUUUUGGCGUUACCAACUUAGUUCACUGACAUUAGGUAAAACAAAACAAUAAAAAUUAUACAUGAUACUGUACAUGAUUACAGGAACAAUUUUUAAAUAGUACAUUUAAGUGAAAGUAAAAAAUCAUUUACACUACAUUAAGCGUUAUACGCUAUCUCUUAUGAAGAAGAUCUAGAAUAAGCUAUAUGUAUUAUACAAAUUAUAAAUAUAAUUUCCUCGCUUUUGACAGCAAAAUGUUUAGAACUACA